rnacentral:rRNA from 1 species
GACGAACGCUGGCGGCGUGCUUAACACAUGCAAGUCGAACGCAGUGGCGAACGGGUGAGUAACGCGUAAUCAACCUGCCCUUCAGAGGGGUACAACAGUUGGACACGACUGCUAAUACCGCAUACUGACGGCGGGGAUUGCGUCUGAUUAGCUGGUUGGAGGGGUAACGGCCCAACAAGGCGAUUAUCAGUAGACGGUCGGAGAGGAUGAAAGGCCACAAUGGGAAUGGGACACGGGCCAGACGCCUACGGGAGGCAGCAGUGGGGAAUCUUUCGCAAUUGGGGAAAGUCUGAAGGAGCAACGCCGCGUGAGAGAUGACGGCCUUCGGGUUGGAAAGCUCUGUUAAUCGGGACGCGGUACCCGAAUAGAAAGCAACGGCUAACUACGUGCCAGCAGCCGCGGUAAUUC